AGCCGCGGUAAUACGAAGGGUGCAAGCGUUACUCGGAAUUACUGGGCGUAAAGCGUGCGUAGGUGGUUUGUUAAGUCUGAUGUUAAAUCCCGAGGCUCAACCUCGGAUCAGCGUUGGAUACUGGCAGGCUCGACGGUUGGAGAGGCGAGUGGAAUUACCAGUGUAGCGGUGGAAUGCGUAGAUACUGGUAGGAACACCCAUUGCGAAGGCAGCUCGCUGGACAACACGUGACGCUGAGGCGCGAAAGUGUGGGGAGCAAACC
rnacentral:rRNA from 1 species